ensembl:lncRNA
AACGCGAGGGCACGGCAGUAUGGCAGAGUUCCCACUGAAACUGAUAGUUUCCGUCACAGCUCACUUCCGUCUGCCAGUUUCGCCUGCCAGUUUCUGACAUGCCAGUAAAACCGCAGUGGUGUUAGGUGUCCCCAUUUCUCUGAACAGCCUCAUCAAAGCUAGCAGGCAGGUAGUACAUAUCUUCCAGGUGUCCCCAUUUCAAGUAUCAGCCUCAUCAAAGAGCUCUGUGUUUCACCCACACAACAUGCAUGAAGAGAAGAGAAAAAAAUCAAUGGACAUAAAAACACUUUUCAUCACAGCCUUGGUUCUAGCUGUGUUUGGAACCAUCUGUGUGCUCGUCACCACGUUUGCACCGUGGAGGAAGACAUAUGUCCAGAGCUGUCAACUACCAUAUGUGACCUAUGACGGAAUUUGGUAUUACUGUAUGUCGUAUGUCGACUGGCACCACGGUUUAAAGUGUGUGCCUAACCUGAAUGUCAAAAGGAUCACGCCAUCAUUCCUACAGAAGGGGUACAGUCCAGCAUUCCUCCAGGCCUCGCGGGUCCUCGUGUGUGUCUCCCUGGCCUGUGUGCUCUCUGCGUGGGCUCCUCUCAUCCUUGGUCUGAGGCGCUUCCUUCAGCACAGAGAGAUGCGUAUCCCACUCAUCACUGCAGGCUCCAUGCUACUCACGGCAGCAGUUGUGUUUCUCAUUCCAGUAACAGUCUCCACAGUCAAUCUGGAACAAUUGUUCCCACAGAAGAUUAUCAGGCAUUUUGACACUAUCGGACUCGGUCUGUAUUUGGGUUGGGCUGGUUCUGGUUUCCUUGUGGUGGCUGGGGUGAUUGUGCUUUGUUGCAACAUGUCUUCCGUAACAAGUGGAAGAGAGAGAAGUACUGAGGAGGCUUCUCCAUGCAUGACGUAUAAUGCUUUACAGAAAACAGACACUACACAGUUGUCACAAGUUUGGAUUGUAUGAAUUCUUGUCAACAUGGCUCUGUAUUGCUAGAGGACACAUCCACAUACCAUUACACUGACACA